rnacentral:rRNA from 1 species
AACGAACGCCGGCGGCAGGCUUGACACAUGCAAGUCGAACGCAUCCUUCGGGGUGAGUGGCAGACGGGUGAGUAACGCGUGGGAACGUGCCCUUCAGUUCGGGAUAACCCAGGGAAACUUGGGCUAAUACCGGAUACGUGCGAGAGCAGAAAGAUUUAUCGCUGAAGGAUCGGCCCGCGUCUGAUUAGCUAGUUGGUGGGGUAAUGGCCCACCAAGGCGACGAUCUGUAGCUGGUCUGAGAGGAUGAUCAGCCACAUUGGGACUGAGACACGGCCCAAACUCCUACGGGAGGCAGCAGUGGGGAAUAUUGGACAAUGGGCGCAAGCCUGAUCCAGCCAUGCCGCGUGAGUGAUGAAGGCCUUAGGGUUGUAAAGCUCUUUCGUCCGGGACGAUAAUGACGGUACCGGAAGAAGAAGCCCCGGCUAACUUCGUGCCAGCCGCCGCCGUAACAC